rnacentral:rRNA from 1 species
GGGUCAGUAGGUUGGUCGUGCCACCGGUACGUACUGGUCUCACUGAUUCCUCCUUCCUGAAGAACCGUAAUGCCAUUAAUUUGGUGUUGCGGGGAAACAGGACUGUUACUUUGAAAAAAUUAGAGUGUUUAAAGCAAGCUAACGCUUGAAUCCAUUAGCAUGGAAUAAUGAAAUAGGACGAUCGAUCCUAUUUUGUUGGUUUCUAGGAUUGACGUA